rnacentral:lncRNA from 1 species
ACUUCUACAUAAGUCCAAUUACGAUUGCUUAACAUAGCGCUAAAGUUGCCUUAUGGCACACUAACUACUAACACUAACUAUUGACUAUUAACAUUUAUUUUAUGCAAUUUACUUUAUGCCAUUUACUAUUCUUGCACAUAUUAUCCAUUUGAUUUUCUCUUUGCUCACUUGAGCACAUGUUUAUGUUAAUGUCAUUUGCCUUUUGCUCAGUUGAGCACAUAAUUGUGUAUAUAUUAUUGUGCUUGUGUUUUUUUGUUUUGAUUGUU